AACGAACGCUGGCGGCAUGCCUAACACAUGCAAGUCGAACGAGACCUUCGGGUCUAGUGGCGCACGGGGGCGUAACGCGUGGGAACCUGCCCUUAGGUUCGGAAUAACUCCCCGAAAGGGGUGCUAAUACCGGAUAAUGUCUUCGGACCAAAGAUUUAUCGCCUUGGGAUGGGCCCGCGUUGGAUUAGCUAGUUGGUAGGGUAAAAGCCUACCAAGGCGACGAUCCAUAGCUGGUCUGAGAGGAUGAUCAGCCACACUGGGACUGAGACACGGCCCAGACUCCUACGGGAAGCAGCAGUGGGGAAUAUUGGACAAUGGGCGAAAGCCUGAUCCAGCAAUGCCGCGUGAGUGAUGAAGGCCUUAGGGUUGUAAAGCUCUUUUACCCGGGAUGAUAAUGACAGUACCGGGAGAAUAAGCGCCGGCUAACUCCGUG
rnacentral:rRNA from 1 species